UACGAAGGGGGCUGGCGUUGCUCGGAAUCACUGGGCGUAAAGCGCACGUAGGCGGAUCGUUAAGUCAGGGGUGAAAUCCUGGAGCUCAACUCCAGAACUGCCUUUGAUACUGGCGAUCUUGAGUUCGGGAGAGGUGAGUGGAACUGCGAGUGUAGAGGUGAAAUUCGUAGAUAUUCGCAAGAACACCAGUGGCGAAGGCGGCUCACUGGCCCGGUACUGACGCUGAGGUGCGAAAGCCAGGGGAGCAAACGGG
rnacentral:rRNA from 1 species